AAGAAGGAGAUGGGUUAAGGUCUGUGAGGCUGAUCUUUAGCCAAGAGGCAGUGGAGGGAUUAGAAACAAUAAGAAGGCAAAGAGUGCCUUGAGAAGCAUGGAGAGAAAAAAUGAAACAACACAGAACCAAGAAGGGUGCCACAAGAAAAUAGAGGCGUGAGUGGCAAGUGGGCAUGAUAAUGAUGAUUGCAUGAUCUCAUGAUACAUGAAAAAGGAACCCCCGCUAUCUGGAUGUAGUCUAUCCUCUCUUUAUUUCACACAUUAUGGAGCCGGAUUCUGUCCCAGUUGCUCCUCUUCCAGUUCAUCUCUCUGCUGUGGCCCAGGAAGGCAGUGGAGGAUGGCCCAAGUGCUUGGGCCCUGCACCCGUAUGGGAGACCAGGAGAAGCACCUGGCUCCUGGCUU